GGAGGAAACAGAAGCCCAGAGAGAGAAGAGGGAGCGUGCCUGCUGGUGGCCAGUAUUACACAAGGUCCUUAAUAGACUUCCCUCAUCUGUGAGUUGUCUUCCUCUGACAUUACUCCAGUAGAAGAAGGGGAUGGGUAGGAAAUCCAGCUCCUCAUUAGGCCUCCAGUGAUACCUCCGUGGCUUGGAGAGCUCCAACUCUGGAACACAGGAGGAAAAAAGAAAACCCAGGAACUUACUACUAUGCUGUUUCUUGGGUCUUCAGGUCCCUAGUAAAUGGCACUAUGACCAAGAAUGUUCCCAGAAACAUGGUGCGCAAGAGCUGAACGCUGGAAACAACACACACGUCCACCAGCAGGAGAAAGACUCAACAGACUGCGAUGUCUUCAUGCCAGGGAAUAUUAUACAGCAAUGAGAUUACAACAGCUCCAGCUGUAGCCACCACAUGGAGGAGUCUGAGACACAUUAUGCUGCGUGCAAGAAGCAAGUUUCAGAAAGUUGCAGACUGUGUGAUGCCAUUUAAAAGAAACUAAAACAAAAGCAAAACUAAACAAUAGGUGGUGUAAGCACACACACACAAGAUAAAAAUGUUUAAGAAAAAAAGGCACAUGGGAAUUCUCUGUACUUUCUGCUCAAUUUUGCUGGGAACCUAAAACUGCUCUAAAAAUACAGUCUAUAGGGAAAAGAAGCAAGGAAAUGAUAAACACAGGAUGGUU